rnacentral:rRNA from 1 species
AUUGAACGCUGGCGGCAUGCCUUACACAUGCAAGUCGAACGGCAGCGGACCUUCGGGUGCCGGCGAGUGGCGAACGGGUGAGUAAUAUAUCGGAACGUACCUUUCAGUGGGGGAUAACGUAGCGAAAGUUACGCUAAUACCGCAUAUUCUGUGAGCAGGAAAGCAGGGGGAUCGCAAGACCUUGCGCUGAUUGAGCGGCCGAUAUCAGAUUAGCUAGUUGGUGAGGUAAAGGCUCACCAAGGCGACGAUCUGUAGCGGGUCUGAGAGGAUGAUCCGCCACACUGGAACUCGAGACACGGUCCAGACUCCUACGGGAGGCAGCAGUGGGGAAUUUUGGACAAUGGGCGCAAGCCUGAUCCAGCCAUGCCGCGUGAGUGAAGAAGGCCU